GUGGGGAAUCUUCCGCAAUGGACGAAAGUCUGACGGAGCAACGCCGCGUGAGUGAUGAAGGUCUUCGGAUUGUAAAGCUCUGUUAAUCGGGACGAAAGAGCCUAGUGUGAAUAAUGCUAGGAAGUGACGGUACCGGAAUAGAAAGCCACGGCUAACUACGUGCCAGCAGCCGCGGUAAUACGUAGGUGGCAAGCGUUGUCCGGAAUUAUUGGGCGUAAAGCGCGCGCAGGCGGAUCUGCCAGUCUGUCUUAAAAGUUCGUGGCUUAACCCCGUGAUGGGAUGGAAACUACAGAUCUAGAGUAUCGGAGAGGAAAGUGGAAUUCCUAGUGUAGCGGUGAAAUGCGUAGAUAUUAGGAAGAACACCAGUGGCGAAGGCGACUUUCUGGACGAAAACUGACGCUGAGGCGCGAAAGCCAGGGGAGCGAACGGGAUUAGAAACCCUGGUAGUCC
rnacentral:rRNA from 1 species